CUCUCUGGUUCCUGAAUGCUGAAGCAAUGCGACUGGCUGCUUCAGGCUCCCCCCGCUGUGAAUUCCACCCAGAUGUACGCCAGGAUGGACUUCUCUCUCCCUUCAAUUGUUUCUGGUUGCAGCAACAAGAAACCCCUGGUGUGAAGACACUGUUGCCAGCUUCCUCUGUCUCCCCUGCUUUCAAAAUGGCUUUUAUCCACUUGGCGGGAGGAUUCCAUGUCACGACAGACUUCACGGCAGCAGCCCAAAUUCCUGCAAGAAGCUACCUGCUGAGCCGCUGAGCUUGUUUUCCUGACAGAUCCUGACAAAGUGAAAAAAAGCGAUCCUGGCAUAGUGGGGGAUGGGUCCCCCCCCCCCAUCCCUCACCCCUUUAAAAAUCAGGCCCUAGAAUUAAAGUUGAGCCUUGAUCAGA
rnacentral:lncRNA from 1 species